AUACGGAGGAUCCAAGCGUUAUCCGGAAUCAUUGGGUUUAAAGGGUCCGUAGGUGGAUAAUUAAGUCAGAGGUGAAAUCCUGCAGCUCAACUGUAGAAUUGCCUUUGAAACUGGUUAUCUUGAGUUAUUAUGAAGUAGUUAGAAUAUGUAGUGUAGCGGUGAAAUGCAUAGAUAUUACAUAGAUUACCGAUUGCGAAGGCAGAUUACUAAUAAUAUACUGACACUGAGGGACGAAAGCGUGGGGAGCGAACAGGAUUAGAAACCCUAGUAGUCC
rnacentral:rRNA from 1 species